ensembl:lncRNA
GUGCCGACUAAGAAACUCCAGGAAACCUUCCAUCCACUGCCUUCCAUCCAUGCCCAUGGUUCCUGGGGCAGUCGACCCAUGUCCAGAGCUUCUUGGGUCAGUGGUUCCAUUGUCAGAGGCUCCUGGGUCAGUGUUUCCAUGUCCAGAGGAUUCUGGGGCAGUGGUUCUUUUUCUGCAGGCUCCAGGGCCAGAGGAUCCGGGGUCAAAGGUUCAAUUUUUUGAGGUUCUUGGGCCAAUGGUUCCCAGUCCAUUGGUUCCUGGGCCAGAGGUAUAUGAGUCACCUGUGUCAGGGGUUCCUGGGUCACCUGGGUUAAGGGUUCCUGGAUCAGGGGUUCAUGGAUCAGUUGGAUCAGGGGUUCAUGGAUCAGUUGGAUCAGGGGUUCUUGGAUCAGUUGGAUCAGGGGUUCCUGGAUCAGUUGGAUCAGGGGUUCCUGGAUCAGUUGGAUCAGGGGUUCCUGGAUCACUUGGAUCUGGGGUUCCUGGAUCAGGGAUUCCUGGAUCACUUGGAUCAGGGGUUCCUGGGCCAGAUGUUCCUGGGUUGGCUGUGGUAGAUUAACUGCUUCCAAGGUGUCAGCAAAUAGGGAUCCUAAUUCUGAAUCUUUUUUGGUAAGUAUGUCUGUGGGAAACCAAUCUUGAAUCAUUGAUUCAUUUCCUACCAACGGCUCCCUGUUCCUCCCGUGGUGGAGCUUUAUUCCAGUAGUAAGGGCUAUCAGUCUUUUAGAAAACCUUUUCAGCAUGGAGAUAAUGUCCUCCUGGAUGCCGAGGUCCUGGAACCAAAUGUUGUACCAGUUCCUUGGUGGGGCCUGAGACAGCGUACCAGCUUGGGGAUAAAUUAGCGCCACCCUGGUUCUCACCUGUCUGGUGUUAUUCAUUCGACACAUCCAGUGUGGUCUGGUCUGUGGAUGGACCACACUGGGUGUUGGGACAGGUUCCUGCUGGAGUGUUGAAAGAGAGUCCUGGACCACAGUGGGGGGUGGGAGAGGUUCCUGAUGGACCACACUGAGUAUUGGGAGAGAGUCCAUGACCACUGUGGGGGGUGGGAGAGAUUCCUGAUGGACCACACUGAGUAUUGGGAGAGAGUCCUUGACCACAGUGGGGGGUGGGAGAGGUUCCUGAUUGACCACACUGGGUGUUGGAAGAGAGUCCUUGACCUCAGUGGGGGGUGGAAGAGGUUCCUGAUGGACAACAACUGGGGUUUCAUACGUUUCCUGGGCCUCUCUGGUCCUCUGGCAGUUCAGUGGUCUAGCAGGGGUCUUGGCUGUGGUCUUUGGGAACUCAACCCAGCAAACAGCCUUGCCCAGGUUAGCAAGCGGCCUACCCUGCAGGGGUGGGGUGCUGGCCCAUUGUUUCGGUACCAUGGGCGGCAUCAAGAAGUCCAGGAAAUCCGGAAGGUAUGGGAUCUGAUACUUGAUGUCGGUCAACAUUGUAAGGAAGCGUUGUAUGAGAGGUUCCUGGAACACACUGGGCGGGGAGUGAGGUUUCUGCUUGGCAUCAACCAGGGUUAGCAGAGGUCCCGGGUCACCAGUCUGAUACAUUUCCUGGGCCUCUCUGGUCUUCUGGCAGUUCAGUGGUCUAGCAGGGGUCUUGGCUGUGGUCUUUGGGAACUCAACCCAGCAAACAGCCUUGCCCAGGUUAGCAAGCGGCCUACCCUGCAGGGGUGGGGUGCUGGCCCAUUGUUUCGGUACCAUGGGCGGCAUCAAGAAGUCCAGGAAAUCCGGAAGGUAUGGGAUCUGAUACUUGAUGUCGGUCAACAUUGUAAGGAAGCGUUGUAUGAGAGGUUCCUGGAACACACUGGGCGGGGAGUGAGGUUUCUGCUUGGCAUCAACCAGGGUCAGCAGAGGUCCCGGGUCACCAGUCUGAUACAUUUCCUGGGCCUCUCUGGUCAUCUGGCAGUUCAGUGGUCUAGCAGGGGUCUUGGCUGUGGUCUCUGGGAGCACGACCCAGGAAACAGCCUUGCCCAGGUUAGUAAGGGGCCUACCUUGCAGGGGUGGUGUGCUGGCCCAUUGUUUCGGUACCAUGGGCGGCAUCAAGAAGUCCAGGAAAUCCAGAAGGUAUGGGAUCUUAUACUUGAUGUCUGUCAACAUGGUAAGGAAGCGUUGUACGAGAGGUUCCUGGAACACACUGGGCGGUGAGCGAGGUUUCUGCUGGGCAUCAACCGGGGUCAGCAGAGGUUCCGGGGCACCAGUCUGAUACAUUUCCUGGGCCUCUCUGGUCCUCUGGCAGCUCAAUGGUCUAGCAGGGGUCUUUUUGGUGGUCUCUGGGAGCACGACCCAGGAAACAGCC